AUUUCUACAGUAUUUAUAGCUUUCCACAGCCAAAAUAAAUAGAAGCAAUAAUGAUCAUCCCAUAAGAUUGUGACACAUUUCAUACCAUUAUCAAACAAUUCUAUUUUUUAUUUUUUUAUCUUUCAUGUUAUGAUAAGAAGCCAGCAUAUAUUGAAAGUAAAAAAGGAUAAAAAGGUUCACAGAUGUAUAAUAAGUCUCCUCAAUCAUAUUACUCGAACAAGU
rnacentral:misc_RNA from 1 species